rnacentral:rRNA from 1 species
GUGAGUAAUACUUAGGAAUCUACCAAGUAGUGGGGGAUAGCUCGGGGAAACUCGAAUUAAUACCUCAUACGACCUACGGGAGAAAGGGGGCAACUUGUUGCUCUCGCUAUUAGAUGAGCCUAAGUCGGAUUAGCUAGAUGGUGGAGUAAAGGCCUACCAUGGCGACGAUCUGUAGCUGGUCUGAGAGGAUGAUCAGCCACACCGGGACUGAGACACGGCCCGGACUCCUACGGGAGGCAGCAGUGGGGAAUAUUGGACAAUGGGGGCAACCCUGAUCCAGCCAUGCCGCGUGUGUGAAGAAGGCCUUUUGGUUGUAAAGCACUUUAAGCAGUGAAGAAGACUCCAUGGUUAAUACCCAUGGACGAUGACAUUAGCUGCAGAAUAAGCACCGGCUAACUCUGUGCCAGCAGCCGCGGUAAUACAGAGGGUGCAAGCGUUAAUCGGAAUUACUGGGCGUAAAGCGAGCGUAGGUGGCUUGAUAAGUCAGAUGUGAAAGCCCCGGGCUUAACCUGGGAACGGCAUCUGAUACUGUUAGGCUAGAGUAGGUGAGAGGAAGGUAGAAUUCCAGGUGUAGCGGUGAAAUGCGUAGAGAUCUGGAGGAAUACCGAUGGCGAAGGCAGCCUUCUGGCAUCAUACUGACACUGAGGUUCGAAAGCGUGGGUAGCAAACAGGAUUAGAUACCCUGGUAGUCCACGCCGUAAACGAUGUCUACUAGUCGUUGGGUCCCUUGAGGACUUAGUGACGCAGCUAACGCAAUAAGUAGACCGCCUGGGGAGUACGGCCGCAAGGUUAAAACUCAAAUGAAUUGACGGGGGCCCGCACAAGCGGUGGAGCAUGUGGUUUAAUUCGAUGCAACGCGAAGAACCUUACCUGGUCUUGACAUAUCUAGAAUCCUGCAGAGAUGCGGGAGUGCCUUCGGGAAUUAGAAUACAGGUGCUGCAUGGCUGUCGUCAGCUCGUGUCGUGAGAUGUUGGG